CGUAAUAAUAGAAACUAACCAGGAUUCCCUUAGUAACGGCGAGUGAACUGGGAUACCAACAAAAUACAUGUGCCUCGCGCGCAUGAUUUAGCCCGUCGAUACUAUCCUAGCAUAUUACCGGUCUCGGCCGGUAACCCAAUAUGCGGGAAUUGUAGCAUCGUAAUAAAAAUAAAAUAUAUACACGCACACACACCCACCGCGUACAUUCUUGUAAACACACAGCGUCUCCGCGUUGGAAAGCAAGUUUAUAUCCUCUUUGGAUAUGCCAUAGAGUGUGACAGCCACGUUUCACUCAUAACCGUACGCACACACACACGCCCCGUGCACUAAUAUAUAUUUCUAUAACCUGAGUCGAGUUAUUU
rnacentral:rRNA from 1 species